rnacentral:lncRNA from 1 species
AGCUAGCCUUUAGAUUUGUCUGCUAACAGUAAAAAUACUAUAAUAAAUCGGUAACAUAUGUUGCCAGGCAAGGAAAAGUGAUAUAAAUAAAGAGACUAGGAGACCCAAACCAAGUACAAUGUGAAAAGAAUUUAACUUUCAAUCUAUGCAUUGGCUAAUUAUCAUUUGAAAAGUAAUUUGAAAGUGUUACAGUUAUUUGCUUAUAUUCUUCCUCAUUUUUCUUUUUUUCUCUUCAGAUUGCAUUCUUACCCAAAUACUCUUCGUGAUUGCCUGCUUUGCGGCUUUGGGGUAAGUCCCAGUUUUCCACAACCUUAAAGAAAAAAAAAUGCAUAACAUAAAAGAUGCCAAAAAGACUUAUGUGUCCUGAUGUGCGGGUUUUGUGAAAUAUACAUGGGUUUGUUUUUUUUUGGGGGGGGGUGGCGGGGAACGAUGUUGGUAAUGAAAUAAAGAGAAGGGGUUUGUUUCUGCAAGGAUCAAGAGUGUGUGAAAGUGUGCAUUGCAAACGAGGCUCCCAUCAAGAAAGCCACCUCUGGAAUGGAAAUGACAAAGCUUGGAACACACACAAUCAAUUAUUUUCACUAGCAUUUAAAAUAUAGAAAACAAAAUCUGCUUUGGGAAUUGACUGAAUAUUUUAUUUAGCUUUUUUAUUGAGACAUCCUUUGAAAAAUGGCAUAAUAUAAAUAGUUUUACAAAGCAACAAUAUAAUCAAUCUCUAAACUAGAAUAUAAAUCAAGGAUUUCAUUAACUGCUAGUAGCCAGUUUAAAUUGUAGUCUUGUCCAUAAUGUCUAUCUAUCUAUGUAUGUCCAAGUUAUAUUAAAAACCUUUAAAUGGCUUUGUAAUAUCAGCUACAUCUAGCUAUUAUAAUAAUUAAUGGUACUGUUUUAUAAAUCAAUACAUGUAUUCUUGAUAAAUUCAUAUCCAGUUAAUGGUGUAAUUUAAAUAAAAAAUUAAUGUAAUAAAGGACAUACAGAAACAGGCAGGAAAUCUUUAAAGGUUAAGAGACAAAUUUGUCUAAAUUCAUUUUUAAGCCGUUUUGAAAAAGUUUAUACUUAAAAUCAGCUGAGAUUUACCUUGUUUCUGUAAAACUAAUUUUGCUGUGUCUGUUGGUAUCCAGUAAUGAAUCUGUGCAUUAUUUUCUUUUUUAACUGUUAAGUUUUAAUUACAUACUUAUGAUACUAUGAGAUAUGUUACUACCGUUAUACUCUUUUGCAAUUAUUGAAUAUUCUUUAAAAAAAUAGAACAAAACUAAAAAUCUCAAGCCAGUAAUUUAUUUUUAAUACAUGAAUGAAAUGUAAAUGCUCUCUCUCUAUUUUUUAUAUCUAUAAGCGAACGGUUCUGAGAAUCUCCAAAGCUAUAUACAAAUUUUAUUUAAGGUGAAAAAGGACUGAUUAGCUCAAUAAAUUUGCAUGCGCAAAAGCGCAGCGUUUUUACUGCUUUCACUGAAUGAACAUCCUAGGAAUUUGAGAAAGAAAAGAAAAAUGCUUUGAAGAGUCUGAAAUGUAUUUUAACGCUGCACACGGGUGGAGAAACAUGUUACAAAGAGAAGAGUGUAUUAUUGUUCUGAUUUAAAAAAUACAUACCAAAGGCAUCUUAAGGAAUAACAGGAUCUAGAAAAACAACUGAAUGUUGUAUGUUAUCAAAUACAAUCUUAAAUCUUUCCAAAUAAAAUUUCAUUUGGUUUAUAGAGUAAGCAUUUUACACGAGAUAUCUUUCAGAAUUAUGCAGACCAGUCUGCCCUGCCAUUCUCCGUGACAUGGUGCAGAAAUGUUACUUUAAUCCACUGAGCUUUUUCUGACAUUUUUCUUAACAUUGCUGAGCCUUAUUUAGAGCAGCAAAGGAGAUGUGUGCAGUUUCCUUUGACACUGAUGGGUGUUUCAAAAUGUUACGAGAGAGAGAGAGAGAGAGAGAGAGAGAGAAAGAGACAGAGACAGAGACGGAGAGAGAGCGCGAGAGAGAAAAGAUUUGCUGCCAGUCACUUUAUCAAUAGAGCUACAGGAGCAAUUACUAUUUGUUAAAAGUUUACAUUUCAAAUGAAGCUAAAUUUUAAAGAAGGCUCAUCCUUUUAAAAGCCUGCUGCUUGGAAGAGGGGGGAAGAGAAUGCACGGUAGUGAUCACAUGUUAAAGUGCGCUCAAGUACUGGAACCAUUUAAAAUGUAUUGUGUUUUUAGACGAAGCCUACAGCAAAACCACUCCUAAGAGGCUUAAUUUAGGUUUUAUAGGAGGAACAUAAAAAAGACCAGGUUACAGCAACACGCUGAAAUAUGGGGUACAUUUUAAAUAUCUUCAUUUAAAAACGUAUGUUUAUUUUCCCUCCUGGGAUCACUAACAUGUGUCUCGACAGAGAAAGCAAGGACAUGCUACAUUCUUAAAAAUUAUCUGUUAAAGGGAUCACAUUCCAAGACAGGUUUGAGCAUUUUUAUUACUACCGAUAACCUCUUAAUUAUGUCACUGCCUUCCACUUGUUAAUCAGGGACAUUCAACAUGGUUAACCAGUGAGCGGUUGCCUUUCGUCGACUUCAUUAUUAUUAGGAAUUAAAAACUCAUUCUAUUCCCAUCAUCAUGUUUUUGCAUCUAUGAGUUUAGCACUGCUAGAAACUUACCUGCUUUAAAUACAGAACACCUAAGAAAAGGUCUAGAUGCCCAUAACAAUGUUGUUAAUUACUUCUAGGUGCAGCUCAUGGAAAGCUUUAAGAGAUGGAUAAUUUUACUUUUCCUGUCUUGCCCCCCUCCCCCAACCCCGCUGCCUCCCCCACAUCUCCCACAAUUCCUAUUUGAACCAAUUUUAGGUUCCUUGUGCAGCCACCAGCGCCUGAGAUACUCAGAGACUUUUUUCAGAGAGCACGGUGUAAGUGGAGUAAAUAAAAUCAUGUUUCACUGUUGCUUUAUCAACCCUCCUAGGUAGUUUUCCUGCCAGCCAACCUGCACUGUUAAGACCCAGAAAAUUAUGCAAUAGUGACUUCUUUGAGGUUCUCUAAUCAGAUGAUGGCCAGUGUUAGGAGGGGAAGGGCCCAAGGCAAUGUUGCUGGCACUUAAUGCUGGGCUUGGUCAUUACUUGUCUGGUAGAGACCAAUAAACAGAUGAUUACUAUCCUAUAAGGAGCCAAUAUUUUACAUUUAUCCUAGUUAUAUCUUUUCUUUUCAACGUCUUAUAACAGAAAGUAUUUGUCAAGAUCUAUGAGGAAUAACCUCACAGGCCCCUUAAAAAUAAGAAUUUUCCUAGCGUGAAAUGAUGCUUUUUGUGCAAUGGUGAGAAUGAUUUUGGUUUUUAUAAGAGCAAAGGUUUGAUUACUUUAAAGUAGUUCUCUUUCAGAUGUGGACAGUCCCAGACCCCAUCCCCCACUCUCAUGUCCCCCUCUCUCCUCUAUGACAGGUUCACAGGCUGCAACCAAGGGGUUUUAAAAUGCAAAUAUUUAUAUUGGAGCUCUGGCAAUAACAGAGUCGUUUUGCUUCCUCUGUUAGCCUGUGAUAAUUGAUGCUUCAUACCUGGAACUACGUUUCAUUUAUCUCUUUACACAUGAAGAUAUUACAUAAAUAAAAGAUAAUUUAUGGAAAGGAAACAGCCAUUUGAAAUAAUAAUCCUAAAUUUCAUUGUAUAAUCUUGAAAGGCUUUAAGAGUCAAAGAUGCAGAUUUCUACAGUUUUAAAGAAAACUUGAUCGCACCUGGGAAAUUUGUGCAUUUUUGCACACUUACUGAAUUUGAAUGCCUGCGUGGAUCAAAAACAAAAAAGAGGGAUAAAAGGAAGGCAGGAGAGAAAAGGUGUGGAUUUCACAUGUGCUUUAAACUAAUGCAUUCGCCCACACGUCCACAGACUUCUUGUUACAAUUUUAUUGACUUUUUCUUUAUAUCCGAAAAUAAUUUCUAAAUAGCUAAUGCAAAUUGCAAAAUAGUGAGUCUUCUGAAGGGCCUUCUCUUCCCGGGGAUCCUCAUCUUAGAAUGAACAGAGGUAUUCCCAGAACCGGACCCUGAUCUCACAACCUCAUACAAAGCCAGGCAAUUCUUGAGCCAAACAAACAAAGGGUGUGUAAGCGAUUUCAUUUAUUUUGAUAAUCCUCCUCUUGCACAGGAGCAUCUUGCUGUCUUUGUCAAAGUGAAUGACAACAAUUUGGCUAACUCUCUCUGAGCUGCGCUCA